rnacentral:lncRNA from 1 species
AGGUUUAUUGCCUGGCUAUAGACAGCCCGAGAAAGAAAGUUAGCUUCCCACCCCCGGCAGCUGCAGUGAUUGGAAAACGAGCCUGAGCCUUUUCACCGAAAAGAAUAUAUCAUUAUCCGUUGGGUUCGCCCUACUUCCCUGUUAAGAAUCACCUGAAGUGCCUAAAAAUCCGCGAGUUUCAGGGCUUUUCCCUGGAAAUAAUGAUUUAGAACGUCCUGGGGGAGGGCCUAGGAGUCUGUGGGUUUAAUAAGCACCUCCAGGAUUUGUGUCUUCGGGUAAGGUGGCGUAAUACUAAAGAGCUGGUAUUCAAAAGUUUCUUUCCAAGAAAUUGCUUCUGUUACCCUGUUACGUUUAUCCAAAUAUUCUCUGUUAGUUGCUCUUUUAGAGUUGAAUUUCUCCAGCAGCUCCCACAAAUAAGCAGUUUUUCCUGGAAGGGGAAAUGUAACAGUUUAAGAGGGGGCUGGCUAGUCUUGAUUUUCGCAGUACACCGUCACCCCACCACCUCCUCAGCCAGUGAGCCACAGAUGUGUGUGGGGUGUCCAUUAUCAGCCUGUUCAGCUGGAUCGGUUUGUGACCCUAAAGUGAAUCUCCAGACUGAGUAGGAUGAUAGUGUAGGCAGAAGCCUUUUAAAGGAGGGAACUGGGGUGUGGAACGAGCAAGUUUCAGAGCCUCACUGGGCAGGCCUGGGCAGCCAGAAGACUGUGGGAAUACACAGAAGGUGGCUUUUUGUGCACCAUGGGCUGUGGCAGGAGAACUUGUUAUUCCCACCCUAGUAUCAGAAAUGCUCCAAGAGAGAGCAAAGGUUAAAUACCGUGGUGUGUUCCUCCAGGUUCACCGUGGGAAAAACCCUUUGCUCAGGGGCUGUCUGGCAGAAGGUGCUGGCAUCCACACCCUUGUCAGAACCCUCCAUAGACUGAGCAGCUAGAUCACCUAAGCUGAUGGAGCUUUCCUGCAAUACCAGACACUGGCAUCCAUGAAGCGAAGUCUUAGGGUGGGCAUUUUGUGGAAAAGAGAGAGGAAAGAAGGAUUUCUUGGGGUUAACAGAAAGUGGAUGUAGAUAAAGGGAAUUCUCCAGUCUUGCACCGCUAACAUGGUGCAAUAUUCACAAACAGACAUGAUUCGUGCUUGUGGACAAAACUGACCUCGGAGCUGAGGUGAGUGACAAACCAAAGUUGCCAGGCCUGAGUAGGGUCCUCGUGCCCAGAGGAGAAAGAGAAAAAACAAAGGAACUCUUUUCACUAAAUUCACCAGCUAUCUUCUGAUCCAGUUAAUUAACUGGGAAAACUAAAUUAAACCCUAACGCCUUAUUCAUCUUUGAGGGGACCUGUGAUGUCUCUGAGCACUAAUGGCAGGGAGGUGGGCAGUGCUGGGCUGGAACAUCUCCCAUGGACAGCCAAGCAGCAUUCUGUUAAUCGUGGCUAUUAAACUGCUUUCUUGGGAGUUGUUUUUGAUCCAUGUGGAAUAGAUUAAGAGUCUGUUUUGAAUCCCCUAGAGUUUCCUGUGGAGCAUAAUUAGAGAUGCAUUGGAAUAGGAAUUCAGGUCAACACUUUAAUGAGAUGUCUGAAGAGUAUGGCCCAGCAAGGGGGAGGGUAGAGGGAGUGGAGUGGUGGAGAUGAGGAAGGGACAUUGUCAGGAUGAGGGGGCAAAAGAAUGAAGAUUUUUGUGAGGAGGUGAAUGAAAGACAAGGAACCACAGAGGAGAGAGAAAUGGAGAGUGAGAGAAGCAAGGAAAUGAGAAUCAAGCAUUGAAAAAUCCUGGAACUUUCAAUAUUUAUGUAGCCAAAGUGUCUCUCUUGCUCACUCACUUGCUUGCUUGUGUACCACUAAUUGAGCAACUACUAUGGGCCAGAUGCUCUGGAAAAUGUUGUUCUGAAGAGGAGUACUAAUCUUCACCAGUGGUGCACCUAGCUGUAUUUUGCACAUUAGGAAACAGACCCAGAGGCACACCUCCCAGAUGCAUCUUCCUCAUGGGGUUGUCGCAGGGUUUAAGAAAAUGAACUCAUAUAAAGGGCUCAGAAUAGUGUCUGGAUCACAGAACUCUGAAGAAUUUAUGUCAGUGAUUCUGAAGUGAGAAUGGAACAUGGAUCCAACCCCUCUAAGGCAGAAGAGAUGUGAGCAGAUUACCUUCUCUGUCCUUAAAAGGAGUGGCCCUGCAUUCCCUGAGAGGGCAUAGCUGGGGCAGUCAUCUGGACCCACCAGACAGGAGCUGAAGCUUGAUAAAAGGUGCCUGGUUCCAGUGACUAUGGAGCAGCCUGCCAGCACUAGAGGAGUCACAGAGAUGUCUAGAUGAGUCACAGAGACAUUUACAUGACAGAAAAAUAAACAACUAUGUUGUUUAAGCCAUUAUUAGUCAGUCUUUCA